rnacentral:lncRNA from 1 species
ACUCCUCACCCAGCAUCCAUAAAAGCAUGCUGCACCUUUGGCACAGCGCGACUUCCCUGGCCCUCCCCCUGCGGACCAGUGAACCUCGCCCGAGGGCUCAAUAAAGAAGAUUUUUGCCCUCUUUUUCUCACCUCUCAGCCUUAUUGAUCCAUGGUGCCCUUCCAUUGCCUUUCAUUGGUGCCGAAACCCGGGAGGGGACACCUCCUAAGCCCCCCCAGAGGCUCAGGGGGACUCCCCUCCUGGUCGGAUCAGUCCUCUCCCUCAGUCAGGUCAGGCUUCUCCUCCACGGCCAUCUGUCCAUUUCGUCCGGUUACUUGCUGCCAGGUCGCAGUUGCUGCAGCUACUCCAGUCCAAUUCGGCCGACGCUAGAUCAACUGAGAUGCAAAACCCAUGUUCACAUCAUGAGUGAGUCUUCUAACUCGGACAAUGCAAUCAACAAAUUCUAAGACCAAAUUCCGGUGGCACUGGCUCCAAAGGCCCCAGGGAAAAUAAACUAAUCAAGACUACUUUAAUUUUUUAAAUAUGAAACCUGCGGAAAAUCAUGAAAAAUAGUAACACAAUUCCACCAUUUUCUACGAAAAAAUACUGAAAGGGUUAUUAACUUGAAUGUCCAAUAGACAGCUGAAUUAGAUAUGAAGUUGCAUAAAGAGAGUAGCCAAAUCAAAAUAUAUAAGUUUUAAAAGGCAAUAUCCAGGACUUCAAACAUGGAAAGAGUUACACGAGAGAAAAGAGGAUUUUGAGAGAUUGCUGCUUCAUUUGCAUGCUCAGCAAAACCUCACGGAGCACUGACGUUUUGAGUCAUCCCUCUAAUCAUCUAGCAUCCAACGCUCCUGAGUGUGGAAGGAGGUGAACAGGGAAAAGCAGAGAGGACAAAAGUCACAUCCCCUCCCCACAGACCCAUACUGGGGAAGGGUGGAAGAUUUAGCUGCGAGUCAAGUUCAGAAUUUUGAUUAACAUCUUGGCAUGCACAUUCGAAUUUCAGAAUCAAGACUGUUGGCCAUAAAAAAUGACUAUAGCCUUGUGUAUUACCUGAACUGAGCAGUAAAAAAAAAGUCAUGGUCCUUCUGGGGCUUUUAUUCUGAGACAGGAACCCUGAACAGGCAGGAGAAAGGGAAUGUUGACAGAGAAACAAAGACAGUUGGCGACACACGCUGACCGCCAUGCGGACGUCCAUCAAACCCAGCACUGGCCCUGGGUACGUGCGCCUUUGCUAUUACCCCAAUACAUUUUCUUCUGCAGAGCAAGCAACAGAACACAUGCAGACCUUAAUAAAUACCACUGGGUAAUGUGACAAUGGCCAAACUCUCCUCACGGGGGAGAGAGUGUCCCCCAGUUUUGCUCCCUUUUAAUUUCCAGGGUUCAUAAGUAGCUCUAAAGCUUUGCUCUACAAGGUUGAUACAUACGAUAUUAAUGUUUCCCCUAAGCAGUAUAACAUAAAUAUAUUUGCUAUCUUGACA